rnacentral:rRNA from 1 species
UACGUAGGGUGCAAGCGUUGUCCGGAAUUAUUGGGCGUAAAGAGCUCGUAGGCGGUUUGUCGCGUCUGCUGUGAAAAACCCGAGGCUCAACCUCGGGCCUGCAGUGGGUACGGGGCAGACUAGAGUGCGGUAGGGGGAGAUUGGAAAUUCCUGGUGUAGCGGUGAAAAUGCGCAGAUAUCAGGAGGAACACCGGUGGCGAAGGCGGGUCUCUGGGCCGAUACUGACGCUGAGGAGCGAAAAGCGUGGGGGAGCGAACAGG